rnacentral:tRNA from 1 species
AAGCUUUUAAAGUUUUCAAACCUCAACGUCCAAUUUUCUCAUAAAACUUUUGAUCUUUGUCAGGGUUUCAACAUUGCAUAAUUCAAUAUUUACGUUUGCUUUGAAGCUUUGACUCUUAAUGGAAAUCAAGACCUUCCAUAAGCCUUAAAGCUUA